CCUACGGGAGGCUGCAGUGAGGAAUAUUGGUCAAUGGCCGGAAGGCUGAACCAGCCAUGCCGCGUGAAGGUCAGUGCCCUAUGGGCGUUAAACUUCUUUUGUGCGGGAGCAAUAAUGGUCACGUGUGGCCAGACGAGAGUACCGUACGAAUAAGCAUCGGCUAACUCCGUGCCAGCAGCCGCGGUAAUACGGGGGAUGCAAGCGUUAUCCGGAUUUAUUGGGUUUAAAGGGUGCGUAGGCUGUGAGGUAAGUCAGCGGUGAAAUGCCCGCGCUCAACGGGGUGAAGUGCCAUUGAUACUGCCUGGCUUGAAUGCGGAUGCCGUGGGAGGAAUGUGUGGUGUAGCGGUGAAAUGCAUAGAUAUCACACAGAACACCGAUUGCGAAGGCAUCUCACGAAUCCGCGAUUGACGCUGAUGCACGAAAGCGUGGGUAUCAAACAGGAUUAGAUACCCGAGUAGUC
rnacentral:rRNA from 1 species